GACCGAGGCCCCAAGCGUUAGGCGGAAUCACUGGGCUUAAAGCGUGUGUAGGCGGAUCGUUAAGUGUCUUGUGAAAUCCCACGGCUCACCCGUGGAACUGCUGGGCAUACUGGCGAUCUUGGGCCAACUAGGGGCAGUCGGAACAAGCGGUGGAGCGGUGAAAUGCGUAGAUAUCAGGAGGAACACCGGUGGUGAAAACGAGUCUCUGGUCCGCUUCUGACGCUCAGGUGCGAAAGCUAGGGGAGCAAACGGG
rnacentral:rRNA from 1 species